AACGCACCUUGCGCUCCUUGGUAUUCCGAGGAGCACGCCUGUUCGAGUGUCUUGAAAUUCUCAAACUGGGAUAGCUUUAUUGUUAACUUAGUUUGGUUUUGGGCUCUGCCGUCUCCUAAUAGUUUGUGAACGGCUGGCCUUAAAAGUAUUAGCUGGCCCUUGUUGUAGGAUUGGUUCUACUCAGCGUGAUAAGUUUAUGACCGCUGAGGACAUCUUUCGGGAUGGCCAGCUCUGCCUUGGAUUGCUUCUAAUCAUGGCAUUUGGAGUCCGCUCCUUAUCCACAACUUUUCAACUUUGACCUCGAAUCAGGUGGGACUACCCGCUGAACUUAA
rnacentral:misc_RNA from 1 species